UACGGGGGGGGCGAGCGUUAUUCGGAAUUAUUGGGCGUAAAGGGCGCGUAGGCGGUCGUGACAAGUCACUUGUGAAAUCUCCGGGCUUAACUCGGAACGGUCAAGUGAUACUGUCGGACUAGAGUACAGAAGGGGCAACUGGAAUUCUCGGUGUAGCGGUGAAAUGCGUAGAUAUCGAGAGGAACACCUGCGGCGAAGGCGGGUUGCUGGGCUGAUACUGACGCUGAGGCGCGAAAGCCAGGGGAGCGAACGGG
rnacentral:rRNA from 1 species